UGGCUAAAAAUGCAAAUUCUUGCUUUUUUUGGAUCUGUUUUUUCUGAUUUUCAAGAGUCCUCAAAAACUAAUAAUAUGAACAUAGAGGAUCUCAAACAGCAAAAGACGGCACACACUUUCUCUAUCUCUCUCUCUCUAAAGUAAGGCGAGAUGGGGAGAUGAUCAAGGACGGCAAUGUAUGCGUGGGGGGUGCAAAGUGGCCCUAGAGGGUUGCGACCCAGGGAGUUCACGGCGCGCGCAAGGAAAACUUUCCACCAAACCAAACCAGAUCACCUUCCUUCUUCCUGUUUCCUUUAUUUGUUUCCUCUUUUUUUUGGUGCACUUUCCUUUUUUUAUUUCUUUCUAUCUUGUUUUGGAUAGGGAGGGGGCUAUCGGUGGGGUGGUAUGCGGCGGCGCGGUGGUCUGGUGGUGACCAAGGUAGGUAUUCGCAUGAGGAGGACGGUGUGCGAACAGCGGACCGGCAGUGGCAAAAGUAGGGUUAGGAGAACAAAGAGAAAAACAAGGGAUUAAACACAAGUGACUAGCAACAACUGAAAGAGUAAGCACACAAAUUCAACAU
rnacentral:lncRNA from 1 species